UGACCCCACCGGCAUGCCCAAGGGCUGUAAGAUGCGGGACCACAUAGUGAAUGCGUCAGACAGUGGAGACUGUACUGGGGACCACCAGGUAAACUCAGCCCAGACCAGACUACUCAACGACCUGCUACUACACAGAGAGYCAGUGUGUGUACCCAACACACCCCUACCAGAGACAGGGCCUGUAGACUCCCCCUCCAGUGGUUCAGAGAGGGGGGAGAGGGGGGAGAGGGGGGAGAGAGGGGAG